rnacentral:tRNA from 1 species
GGAGGGAUGGCAGAGCGGUUGAAUGCAACGGUCUUGAAAACCGUCGGGCGCGCUUGCGUCCCGAGAGUUCGAAUCUCUCUCCCUCCG